GACGAACGCUGGCGGCGUGCUUAACACAUGCAAGUCGAACGGAAAGGCCCUGCUUUUGUGGGGUGCUCGAGUGGCGAACGGGUGAGUAACACGUGAGUAACCUGCCCUUGACUUUGGGAUAACUUCAGGAAACUGGGGCUAAUACCGGAUAGGAGCUCCUGCUGCAUGGUGGGGGUUGGAAAGUUUCGGCGGUUGGGGAUGGACUCGCGGCUUAUCAGCUUGUUGGUGGGGUAGUGGCUUACCAAGGCUUUGACGGGUAGCCGGCCUGAGAGGGUGACCGGCCACAUUGGGACUGAGAUACGGCCCAGACUCCUACGGGAGGCAGCAGUGGGGAAUAUUGCACAAUGGGCGGAAGCCUGAUGCAGCAACGCCGCGUGCGGGAUGACGGCCUUCGGGUUGUAAACCGCUUUCGCCUGUGACGAAGCGUGAGUGACGGUAAUGGGUAAAGAAGCACCGGCUAACUACGUGCCAGCAGCCGCGGUGAUACGUAGGGUGCGAGCGUUGUCCGGAUUUAUUGGGCGUAAAGGGCUCGUAGGUGGUUGAUCGCGUCGGAAGUGUAAUCUUGGGGCUUAACCCUGAGCGUGCUUUCGAUACGGGUUGACUUGAGGAAGGUAGGGGAGAAUGGAAUUCCUGGUGGAGCGGUGGAAUGCGCAGAUAUCAGGAGGAACACCAGUGGCGAAGGCGGUUCUCUGGGCCUUUCCUGACGCUGAGGAGCGAAAGCGUGGGGAGCGAACAGGCUUAGAUACCCUGGUAGUCCACGCUGUAAACGGUGGGUACUAGGUGUGGGGUCCAUUCCACGGGUUCCGUGCCGUAGCUAACGCUUUAAGUACCCCGCCUGGGGAGUACGGCCGCAAGGCCAAAACUCAAAGGAAUUGACGGGGCCCCGCACAAGCGGCGGAGCAUGCGGAUUAAUUCGAUGCAACGCGUAGAACCUUACCUGGGUUUGACAUGGAUCGGGAGCGCUCAGAGAUGGGUGUGCCUCUUUUGGGGUCGGUUCACAGGUGGUGCAUGGCUGUCGUCAGCUCGUGUCGUGAGAUGUUGGGUUAAGUCCCGCAACGAGCGCAACCCUUGUUCACUGUUGCCAGCACGUUAUGGUGGGGACUCAGUGGAGACCGCCGGGGUCAACUCGGAGGAAGGUGGGGAUGACGUCAAGUCAUCAUGCCCCUUAUGUCCAGGGCUUCACGCAUGCUACAAUGGCUGGUACAGAGAGUGGCGAGCCUGUGAGGGUGAGCGAAUCUCGGAAAGCCGGUCUCAGUUCGGAUUGGGGUCUGCAACUCGACCUCAUGAAGUCGGAGUCGCUAGUAAUCGCAGAUCAGCAACGCUGCGGUGAAUACGUUCCCGGGGCU
rnacentral:rRNA from 1 species